rnacentral:misc_RNA from 1 species
CUCCCCAUAUAUGUAUGUGUGAGUGCUGCAGAUUGCCUUGGGUGUGAUAUGACUUGUUUUGCUUGGUUUGCAUUAAGAUGAUGCAUUUCAUUUCUAAUGACGCAUUAAAAUUGGAUAGUUAUAGAAAUUACAUGUAAAAUCAAUAUCUUACUCUAUACGUUGAAAGCUCACUCCUAUUUACCCUAUUUUUUUCCAGGCUACAAGAGGAAUUCUUUUUCAGAAUAACCUACUUUCUUCCUCAUAGAUUUAACAUCAGUUAUUUAUUUGUUUUAUUAUUUUCUAAAUUUGAAAUCCAGAACUCCGCAUGUGUUAGCAGUAGUAUGGACCCUAUUAUGAAUUGUGUUAAUUUAAAUUCUUGAUAUUAAUAAAUGAAAAUUUUUAUGACAUAUAAAUAAUUUGUAAAGGAUGGUAUCAAGGUUGAGCUAAGCUCCAGUGGUUUUACUAUCUAAUGGUUAUCGGGCUGUGUUGACUUGAAUUAAAAUUUUAAUAUUUUAUUUUAUUUUAUUUUA